rnacentral:rRNA from 1 species
CCCUUAGAUGUCCUGGGCCGCACGCGCGCUACACUGAUGCAUGCAACGAGUUUAUAACCUUGGCCUGAAAGGUCUGGGUAAUCUUUUGAACGUGCAUCGUGAUAGGGAUAGAUUAUUGCAAUUGUUAAUCUUGAACGAGGAAUUCCUAGUAAACGCGAGUCAUCAGCUCGCAUUGAUUACGUCCCUGCCCUUUGUACACACCGCCCGUCGCACCUACCGAUUGAAUGUUUCGGUGAAGAUUCCGGAUAGGACUGAUUUGAUUUAUUUCAUUUCUGACCUAAAAGCUAUCUAAACCUCAACAUUUAGAGGAAGGUGAAGUCGUAACA